UACGUAGGCAGCGAGCGUUGUUCGGAGUUACUGGGCGUAAAGGGUGUGUAGGCGGUUCUUUAAGUUUGGUGUGAAAUCUCCCGGCUCAACCGGGAGGGUGCGCCGAAUACUGAGGGACUAGAGUACGGGAGAGGAAAGUGGAAUUCCUGGUGUAGCGGUGAAAUGCGUAGAUAUCAGGAGGAACACCGGUGGUGUAGACGGCUUUCUGGACCGUAACUGACGCUGAGGCGCGAAAGCUAGGGGAGCAAACGGG
rnacentral:rRNA from 1 species